rnacentral:rRNA from 1 species
CCUACGGGGGUGCUGCAGUGGGGAAUAUUGGGCAAUGGAGGCAACUCUGACCCAGCAACGCCGCGUGAGCGAUGAAGGUCUUCGGAUUGUAAAGCUCUGUCGCAGGGGACGAAGUAUGACGGUACCCUGUAAGAAAGCCCCGGCAAACUACGUGCCAGCAGCCGCGGUAAUACGUAGGGGGCUAGCGUUGUCCGGAAUUACUGGGCGUAAAGGGAGUGUAGACGGCAGCGCAAGUCUGGAGUGAAAUGCCGGGGCCCAACCCCGGAACUGCUCUGGAAACUGUGAAGCUGGAGGGCAGGAGAGGUAAGCGGAAUUCCUGGUGUAGCGGUGAAAUGCGUAGAUAUCAGGAGGAACACCGGCGGCGAAGGCGGCUUACUGGACUGUAACUGACGUUGAGGCUCGAAGGCGUGGGGAGCAAACAGGAUUAGAUACCCUAGUAGUC